AUCGCCCUCCUCCCCGCAGCACUGUCGCCCCCUCCUCCCCGCUGCGCCGUUGUCACCCCUCCUCCCGGCCGCGCCGCCCUCGCCCCUCCUCCCCCCUUCGGGCGUGUUCGCUUGUGCUGGCUAUAGCUACUUCUACCACUUGCCGGCAUCCUCUCCCACCUCUCCGUCGGUGGCCCCUGCAGCUCGCCGCGCGCGCGCACCGAUGUCACCGGCCACCAUCAAGAACCAUGGAUCCCACUUGAAAAAGAAAAUCCCUUUAUAUAACCAUUGCUUCGCUUCCUCAAAAUGGUUAGAGUACUAUUGCUAUGCAUGAUUUGAAUUGGCCAUAUUAGAUGUAUCUGCAAGUCAAUAAUAUUACUUUUCUUGAUGAUUUGAACUUUUAUGCAACUCUCUCAUCAUCCCAUGAUUGUUAGAUGACUUCCGAUGGUGAAGAAAGUUGGGAAUAUGAAGCUGAGGUUGGGGUGGCUAGAUCUGAUGAUGAAGCGAAGAAGGCUAGAUCUAAUUAUGAAGAGGAGGAGGAGGAGCCUGGAUCUGAUGAUCAACAACAGCAGCCUGGGGCUACGCGUCGAGUCAGAAAGGCAAGGACAUCAACAAAGUGGCCAGUGGACAAGAUGAUAGUCACAAUUGUUGAUGAAGGGAGCAUGCCCUCAUAAAGAAGAUAGAUACUGAGGUUGCGGAGGGUUGCUGGUCUGAUUGGUAGACAAAGGAUCUCACUGGUCAUGCCAAAGUUCAAUACCCUAAGCAAAGCGGAAAAGUGGAGUUUAUUUGAUCAGGAUGUCACAUCUUACUUGGAGUUCCCGCUAGAGAUGAAGACUGCUGGGUCCACAAGAGCAACCUUGUGUGCAAUUCUAUCGCAAAUGGACUAGAACCAUUUGCGCAGCACCCCUACAUUGAACUGGAGGAUUGGGCACAGUUUGUGAACUUGAAAGAAUCUGAAGCAGCCCAAGCAGAAAGUUCAAAAGGAAAGAUUCUUUGGGAAAAGAACGUGCACAACCACCAUAUGGGUUCAUCAGCAUAUGAAGGGAAACUAGCACAAUGGGAGGUAGAGGACAGCCAAUUAACUGCUCUAGGCAUCCCUAAUCCAUGGGAUCAAAGAGAAGCAUCCAUAUGCAGAGCCUUCUGGCAUCAGUUGGGUUAGGGAGCAAGAUGUGCUAACUUCUUGUUUGGGCCCUGAACAACCAGGGCGGGUCGUGGUAUGUCCAGCUACCUGGGCUGGAAGUACACAUGGCCACAGUUCUCAUCUAUGUACCGGAAGAGGAAAAGGACCAGCUUGGUGGAUGUGGAAAAAAUAAAGGUUGAGCUCAGGGUUGAGGUGACAGAGGAUGUAAUGAAAAUGCUUGCUGCACAAGGAUUGCAGAUACAACCAUUUUCCAGGAAUUCAAGCCCUACACCCGGAAGGAGGAGCAUCUGUGCGUCCGCUUCAAAGCCUGUAAAUCUAGAUGUAGAGAACAAAGAAGAUGAUGUUGAUGAUAUGGACUUGAUGCGAGGUAUAGGACCUGAUUCUAUAGAUAUUCUGACCGAGCCCACACUUUGCAGGCUUCUAAUCUACCCUGGAGGUUAUCAAAUUGAGGUUGCAAGGGGUCUGGUUUAUCCACAACAAAGAGAACUACACAGUCCCAAUUCUCGAUGAUUAUGUAGUGGUGAAGGUUAAGUAUGUACACUGCAACUUUGAAGAUCAUGUGUUUCAACCUGCUCCAAAUGAUGAGAUCAGAACUCUUGGACAAGCUCUUUUGCAGAGGAUACAGUGGAGGAGGCGUCAUAUUAUAGUGAACCCUGGAUCAAUGGAUGCUUCUUCUCAAAGUGUGGCAAGAGGACUUUUAGCCCAACAACCCCAUACUACGCAAAAUGACAGCACAAAGAGCGCAUCUGGUGCAAAGAGUGCAGCCUUAAUUCCUUCAAAGGAUCCAAGCAAGGACAAUAAAAAGGGUGUGCGGGAGAAGCAAAAGGUCGAUUCUGAAAAUUCACAGAAGCAGCACCAAUCAAAAAACUCUCAGAAGACUACUGCUGAGAAUUCUCAGAAGCACCAGCCAGCCAAAAGCUCCUAGAAGUCAUCUGCUGCUGAGAAGCCAGCCAAAAGCAGCCAGCCUAAGCAGAACAGAAGGAUAAUGCUACUGCUGCUGAGAAGAAGGAUGCUGCUGCUGCUGCUAAGAAGAAGGCUGCUGGUGCUGCUGCUGAGAAGAAGGCUGCUAGUGCUGCUGCAGAGAAGAAGGCUUCUAAUGCCCUUGCUGAGAAGGCUGAUGCGGGUGCUGUGAAGAAGGCUGCUGCUGCCAUGGAAUCCAAGAAACAGCGUAAGAAAGGUGCAUAAAAAAUGGUAUGGACUGAGGCGCACCCUAAAUUCAAAUAUGGACAACCUAUGCUAACAGAGGCAGAACUGCUUAGCGCUGGAACUGCAACAGUUCGUCUCCAUGAUCACUACUUGAAAGGUUGUUUGGGAAAUCAGAAAAAUGGCAUUGUGGUCAAGUACAAGCGUAGCCAUUUUUUGCAUUCACUGGACACAUAGUGUUUCCUUGUUGGAUUCAAUGAUUUAUAUGACCUCUUCAAAAUUGAUGGAUUGGAUGUGUCACUUCUGCGCUGCUUCACAUUAUGGAUGAUUGUUGAAACUAAGGCAAAGGCCUUGCCUGCGGGAUUCCUUGAUCGUGAGCUAAUGUCCUUGUCCACCAUACAAUCUAACAAAUCUUAUGUGGUGGAUUAUGUGACAAAGGCCUUCCGUCACUUUGCUAAGAAGGAGAUAAUCAUGUUUGCACAUAACCCACGUGACCACUGAAUAUUAGUGGUAAUUAUUCGGAAAUGGAGCAAGGUUUUGUAUUUCGAUUCUCUCAGAUCCAAGCCACAUGAUCAUACCUUGUUGAAAGAAGUCAUUGACGAGGCUUUUCAUUCAUACCUAGUUAAGGGGAAGGCAAGUAAGAGCUUAUUGGUACAUGUCUCCAAGUUCCCGUGCCACCAGCAAUCUUCUGGUAAUACAAAUGGUUUUUACACAGCACAUUACGUGAUGGUAGCUAUGGAAAUACUAAAAGUGGAGGAUCCUUGGAAUUUGAAGUGACCACAAAUCCCAUCAACCAAGAUGCAAUGGACAACAUUCAAGAAUUGAUUGCCUCCUUCA